GUCCACGCCGUAACGAUGAGAACUAGGUGUUGCGGGUAUUGACCCCUGCAGUGCCACAGCUAACGCAUUAAGUUCUCCGCCUGGGAAGUACGGUCGCAAGACUAAACUCAAAGGAAUUGACGGGGCCCGCACAAGCGGUGGAGCAUGUGGUUUAAUUCGACGCAACGCGCAGAACCUUACCUGGGCUUGACAUCUGUGGAAUCUUCGUGAAAGCGAGGAGUGCCUUCGGGAGCCACAAGACAGGUGCUGCAUGGCUGUCGU
rnacentral:rRNA from 1 species